rnacentral:rRNA from 1 species
GUGGGGAAUAUUGGACAAUGGGCGCAAGCCUGAUCCAGCCAUGCCGCGUGAGUGAUGAAGGCCCUAGGGUUGUAAAGCUCUUUCACCGGUGAAGAUAAUGACGGUAACCGGAGAAGAAGCCCCGGCUAACUUCGUGCCAGCAGCCGCGGUAAUACGAAGGGGGCUAGCGUUGUUCGGAAUUACUGGGCGUAAAGCGCACGUAGGCGGACAUUUAAGUCAGGGGUGAAAUCCCGGGGCUCAACCCCGGAACUGCCUUUGAUACUGGGUGUCUGGAGUAUGGAAGAGGUAAGUGGAAUUCCGAGUGUAGAGGUGAAAUUCGUAGAUAUUCGGAGGAACACCAGUGGCGAAGGCGGCUUACUGGUCCAUCACUGACGCUGAGGUGCGAAAGCGUGGGGAGCAAACAGGAUUAGAUACCCUAGUAGUCC